rnacentral:rRNA from 1 species
GAUGAACGCUGGCGGCGUGCCUAAUACAUGCCAGUCGAGCGAACAGAUGAGGAGCUUGCUCCUCUGACGUUAGCGGCGGACGGGUGAGUAACACGUGGAUAACCUACCUAUAAGACUGGGAUAACUUCGGGAAACCGGAACUAAUACCGGAUAAUAUAUUGAACCGCAUGGUUCAAUAGUGAAAGACGGUUUUGCUGUCACUUAUAGAUGGAUCCGCGCCGCAUUAGCUAGUUGGUAAGGUAACGGCUUACCAAGGCAACGAUGCGUAGCCGACCUGAGAGGGUGAUCGGCCACCCUGGAACUGAGACACGGUCCAGACUCCUACGGGAGGCAGCAGUAGGGAAUCUUCCGCAAUGGGCGAAAGCCUGACGGAGCACCGCCGCGUGAGUGAUGAAGGUCUUCGGAUCGUAAAACUCUGUUAUUAGGGAAGAACAAAUGUGUAAGUAACUAUGCACGUCUUGACGGUACCUAAUCAGAAAGCCACGGCUAACUACGUG